UCGGUCCAAUUGCUGGCGAUCAUGAUCAAAACACCGGACUCCAUGGCUUCGCCUUGUACGAAUUUGGAGCUCCAACUCAGAGUCGGGCAACUCAACUCUUCCUAAUUCCAACUUUCCCUUCGAUUCUCUCCAUCGCCAAUUGCACUCUCUCAUCGUUGCGAUAUUCAAGUUUGUAAUGCUCUUGCUGCUUCACGAAGAUAGUAGUGCAUUGAACUGGCGAAGUAAACUUUAGAACCAAAGAAGAUGGGCGUGAGUAUAGGAAGGACAAAUUGUAAACUGAAGUGCGUGUCUGAUGUUGCUGCUUGGCACAUUCUGAGGGAUAAAUGGAGUCAAUUAAUGGCUUUGAUUGGUGUUUUGAAGUCUAGUCAGCAUAAAUAGUUAUAGUGCUUUGUUCAAUUGUUCUCUUGUAAUUUAGAUUUGCCCUUUAUGUGCCAUAGUGCUGCAUCCUUGUCAUGCACCAGUCUCUGCUCUGUAUUUUUGACUCAAAGGAUGUGUGGGAACUAGGGCAAUGGCAACAUCUAGCAAGUUUGAUCCAUCUUCUAGUAGCCCGGACAAACCAUUGUACCCUGGGCAACGUGGAUCCCACAUAGCUGCUUCAUUAGAUAGAUCAGGUAGCUUUCGCGAAAGCAUGGAAAAUCCAAUUCUGUCUUCUCUUCCGAACAUGUUAAGAAGCAGUUCUCUAGCAACAAAUGGAGAUGUGGAAAGCUUCUUCAAUUAUGUGCGUUUUGAUCCAAAGUUGUUAACACUAGAGCAUAAGUCUAAUCGUCAAAUGGAUUUUAAGCGACAUGUUAAUGCUGCUCUUGGAAUUUCACCUGAUGAAUCUCCAUCUAGUUCUUCAAAAGGCAAGCUACUGCCAUCGCCUGUACCAGAAGACAUGAAACGGGUAAAGGAUGCUUUGGGUGCAAACAUUGUGAAGGCAAGGGAACGUGUGAAAAUGUUUAGUGAGGCUUUAUCUGUAUUCCAUGAAGUUUUCCCAGCUAUAACUUCAAAGAAAAGAUCUCGAGCUGAAGGUUUUUCUAAUGACCGUUCUAAUGUCAUGUUAAGUGAUCGUCCAGUCUUGGGGCCAAGCAUAGGCAAGGUUGGAGUUCAAGGUCAUCCUGUCACAGGUGGUUUUGAACUUGAGCAGCAAAAGUCUGAUGAACGUACCAAAAAUGUUGUUCCAAACAAGCGCACUCGAACUUCUAUGGUUGAUGUAAGGAUGGAUGUGCGGACUAAUUCUCUCGUCAGGCCAUCAGGGACAGUUGACAGAGAUAAGGAAAAGCUACGGAUUGCCAACAAUGGUGUCGUUCAGAGUGAAGAACGAACCUUACCUAUUGGAGGUGAUGGUUGGGAAAAGUCAAAAAUGAAGAAGAAGCGUUCCUGUAUCAAACUAGAUGUUUCUCCAAGUACAACAUUGACUAAACCUGUUAACACCUUCCAAGAAACUAAACAGGGAAUGCAACAAAGACUUGCUACCGAUUCGCGAUCAAAAUUGACUAAUGAUUCUCAUUCUUUCAGGCCAGUAGUUUCUAAUGGAACUGUUGGAGCUGGAAAAUCAGAUGGUAUCUCUCAACAAACUGGGUUGGGCAUACGAGCUUCUACCCCUAGAAACAACCAAGAUAAUAAUUCCCUUGUCAAUGAUAGGAGGGGUCGUCCUGUUAGUUCAGACAAGGAAAGGGUGAACUUCAGAGCUGUAAACAAGGCAACUGCACGUGAUGAAUUUAAUUCAGCUAGCCCUACCUCAAGUGCCAAAAUAAACACUGCUAUUCGGGCUCCACGAUCAGGUUCUGGAGUUGCCCCCAAGUUGUCACCAGUUGUCCAUAGAGCAGGUGUUUCUAAUGAUUGGGAACUGUCUCACUCUACCACAAAGCCCCCUGCUGCUGGUGGUACUAACAAUCGUAAACGUGUAGCAUCAGCACGGUCAUCUUCCCCACCUGUUGUCCCCUGGCAGAGACCACAAAAGAGCUCUCGCACUGCUAGAAGAACAAAUUUCAUGCCUAUUGUUCCAAAUAGUGAUGAAGCUUCAGCUUUGGAUACUGCAUCUGAUGUGGCUGGUAAUGAUCUUGGGUUAGGAUUUGCCAGACGCUUGGCUGGCAGUUCUCCUCAGCAAAUUAAACAAAAAGGUGAUCCUUCAUCUUCAGCUGCCUUGUCUGAAAGUGAAGAGUCAGGGGUGGCUGAUGUUAAACCAAAAGAAAAGGGUAGGAAAGCGGAAGAGAUAGAUCAGAAAUCUGGACAAAAUGUUCAAAAGGUGUCUAAUAUGGUAUUGCCAACAAGAAAGAAUAAGCUUGUUUCUGGGGAAGAACAUGGAGAUGGUGUUCGGAGGCAAGGGAGGACAGGACGCAGUCUUGCUGCCACAAGGUCAAUGAUUCCAAUGACAUCUGAGAAGCUUGGGAAUAUAGGAACUGCAAAACAGCUUAGAAGUGCAAGACUAGGAUCCGAUAAGAAUGAAAGCAAGGCAGGUCGUCCACCAUCCAGGAAACUUUCUGAUCGCAAGGCCUAUGCACGUCAAAAGCCUGCUAUUAAUGCAGCUGCAGAUUUUUUUGUUGGGUCGGAAGAUGGACAUGAAGAGCUGCUAGCUGCUGUAAAGGGUGUUAUCAACUCUGCUCAUGCAUUCUCCAGCCCCUUCUGGAGGCAGAUGGAGCCUUUCUUCAGUUUGAUAACUGAGGAGGAUAUUACUUACUGGAAGCAAAAGGUAAAUCUUGAAUCAAGCACUCUGACACCAACUCCCGUUCCUUCAAAUAUAGAUGGCUGUGAAACCAUUGUUAAUGGAUAUGGGUUGAUGGGCUGUGAAAGAGAUGCUGGAUUUGAUGCUCAAUGGAAUGCUGGAAUUGUUGCAGAACAGUCACAACUAUCUAAGGGAGAUCAUAAUGUGAUUCCUCUCUGUCAAAGGCUUAUAGCUGCUUUAAUCUCAGAGGAGGAGUGUAGUGGUGGAAGUGAACACUUCAAGUUUGAUGCAUAUGAUAAUGAAUUUGAGCCUGAUCGGGAACCAGAAUUGAAUGGUUUGGAUCACCACUCAGGAACAGAUUUUCAGUUUGCUUGUCAUUCUGCUUAUAAUGGUUUCAGGAUUUUGGACAAGCCAGAACAGGAUGAAACUGAAAGGGAUAUAGUUGGUAUUCCUCCAACUGGGUUGAAUUCAAGCUUUGAUAAAUCCGUAAAUGGUUUUCUUCAUGAUAAAGCAAUGUCUAGCUUCACCUGUUCAGAGUUACAAUAUGAUAGCUUGGAUAUAAAUGAUAAGCUUCUCUUGGAGCUUAAAAGUAUUGGAAUUUCCCCAGCACCAGUGCCUGAUAUGUUGCAAACAGAUGAUGAAGGAAUAUCAGAGGAUAUUAUUAGGUUGGAGGAGCUUUACCUAGGACAGAUUUCCAAGAAGAAAAACUUGCUAUAUGGAUUGUUCGAAUCUGCCUCAGUGGAUAAAGAACUUCAAGAAAAGGAUUUUGAGCAACGUGCUCUAGAUAAACUUGUUGUGAUGGCUUAUGAGAAAUACAUGGCUUGUUGGGGUCCUAGUCCCUCUGGUGGGAAAAAUACAAGCAACAAAAUGGCCAAGCAAGCUGCAUUGGGAUUUGUCAAACGGACAUUGGGGCGAUGCCAUCAAUUUGAAGAUACUGGCAAGAGCUGCUUCAGUGAUCCUUUAUUCAAGGAUAUGUUCCUUGCUGAAUCCUCAAAACCUUAUGCCUCUUCCCUUUCUGUGGAAGCAAGAACAGCUUCCAUGGGUUCACAGCAGAGCCCAUCACAGUUUAGUCAGAAUAUGGAUAAUCAUGAUCUCAAUUCAUCAGAUGUGCUUCCUGGUUUAAAUUACUCAUCUGAGCAAACAAGUGGGAAGGAAGAUCUCUGGUCAAACAGAGUGAAGAAGAGGGAAUUGUCCCUUGACGAUGUUGGCGGUACUCCAGGUAUUUCUAGUGCUCCAGGCAUCGGAAGUUCUGUAACAAGCAGUGCAAAAGGAAAGAGAAGUGAGAGAGACAGAGACGGAAAGGGGCACAGCAGGGAGGUACUAUCCAGAAAUGGAACUACUAAAGUUGGUAGGCCAGCAUCAUCCAGUGCUAAGGGAGAUAGAAAAUCUAAAACAAAGCCUAAGCAGAAAGCAACUCAGAAUUCUGUUUCUGUGAAUGGCCUCCUUGGGAAGCUAACAGAGCAACCAAAACCAGCAUUGCCUUCUGUUCCAAAGUCUAAUGAAAUGCCUACAAAUAGCAAUGCAAAGGAAAAGGAUGAGUUUGGCUUGGGUGGAUUGGAUGACCACGAGCCUAUUGACUUGUCCAACCUGCAGCUACCUGGAAUGGAUGUACUUGGUGUUGGUGAUGACCAAGGUCAGGAUCUUGGUUCGUGGUUGAAUAUUGAUGAUGAUGGAUUACAAGAUCAUGAUGACUUUAUGGGCGGCCUUGAAAUCCCAAUGGAUGAUCUAUCGGACUUGAAUAUGAUGGUUUGAAGCUGCUUUUUUUGUAUAGUCCUGUUCAGUAUACCAAUAACAAAGCAAACAAAGUACGUUGAAGAAAUGACUAGUUACAUAGGAUGGUCUUAUGGCUAAUCCCGUCCACAAUUAGGUUAUAUAGAUUCUUUGGUAGACUAUUCCCUCCAAGUUGUUUUUGAGUGACCUUUCCAGCUGUUUCGGAUUUUGCUCGUGUUAAAGUUCAUGACUUCCACUGUAAAGAUCUUUUUGUUCAAGGUACAAGUUAGCAUUCCUGGUAAUUAUAUCUUAGCAAACACUUCCUGGUUGUAGCUCUUACAAAUCAGAGAACAAGACCUCUUGUACAUACAUUUAAUAUUUCUAAUAAAAUCAGCUUUUCAUUUGCCGAAAUUACACCUAGCUGGUCACUCUGUUGGUCUCCCUUCUCUCCCCCUGCUCCUUGGGUUUUCUUUUCCUGGCACUUUGUGUUUUGCAGAUACGUAACUCAAUGUGAUAUAGUGCAAGUGGUUUGCUUCAGUGGCUUCAUCCAGAUAAUCCAGUUGCUGUGCUACUUUAGGUAUAUGAAGCAGAUUCUGGGUAUUUCAUCGCUCAGUCUCUCUCUCUCUCUGUCCAAUUAAGGUUGAAAAUGAAUCUGGAUUACACAUGUUGCCUGAUAUUGUAAUAACCCAUGCAUAAAAGGUCUUGCAAAAGAGCUGAGAGUUGUUAAUAUUCAUUCUAGUUGAUUUUGACUUCUCAGAUGCCGUCAUUGGAUGAAUUACAACCUUUGAUGAUUGAAGGGAGACCUUUUUGAGUAAUUUCAAGUAUUCUUGACAGGAUUAACCUUUGUAAGAAAUUAAUGUGUCAGGGAAUUUUCUUCCCUGAUGAAAUUGAGCUGCAGUUCCCUUUAUGCAGGGAGGUAAGUUUUGAAUCCUUUCUGGCCUUCCUAACUUCAAACUUUCUAUUUAAAUUUUCAUGUGUAUAUAGUGGAAGACUAUUCGAUGAUAUUGUAGUAAAAUUACAUUGGGACAUCAAACACGCAUAAAAUUCAUGCGGCUCA